rnacentral:rRNA from 1 species
UACGAAGGGUGCAAGCGUUACUCGGAAUUACUGGGCGUAAAGCGCGUGUAGGCGGUCCGGUAAGUCCGCUGUGAAAGUCGAGGGCUCAACCCUCGAAUGCCGGUGGAUACUGUCGGGCUUGAGUACGGGAGAGGCGAGUGGAAUUCCGUGGUGAGCGGUGAAAUGCGCAGAUAUCGAGGAGGAACACCGAGUGCGAAGCGCUGCGCUCGGACGUUAACUGACGCGUGGAGAACGCGGAAAGCGUAGGGAGGCAAACAGG